CAUUACCGAUGGAUCCUUACCG
rnacentral:miRNA from 1 species